UACGUAGGGGGCAAGCGUUGUCCGGAAUUAUUGGGCGUAAAGCGCGCGCAGGCGGUUUUUUAAGUCUGGUGUAUAAACCUUGGGCUCAACUUAAGGAGGCACUGGAAACUGGGGAACUGGAGUGUAGGAGAGGAAAGUGGAAUUCCACGUGUAGCGGUGAAAUGCGUAGGGAUGUGGAGGAACACCAGUGGCGAAGGCGACUUUCUGGCCUAUAACUGACGCUGAGGCGCGAAAGCGUGGGGAGCAAACAGG
rnacentral:rRNA from 1 species